CGUCUAUAUACGUAUAGCAUAUCAAUAAGCGGAGGAAAAGAAACUAACAAGGAUUCCCUUAGUAACGGCGAGUGAAGCGGGAAGAGCUCAAAUUUGAAAUCUUCAAGGUUCUACCUUGACGAAUUGUAGUUUAAAGAAGUGUUUUCUGUUAGAGGAGUAGGCAAAAGUUCCUUGGAAUAGGGACAUCAUAGAGGGUGAGAAUCCCGUAUUUGGUUAUUCUUUCUAGCUUUGUGAUACACUUUCAAAGAGUCGGAUUGUUUGGGAAUGCAGUCCAAAAUGGGUGGUAAAUUUCAUCUAAAGCUAAAUAUUGGCGAGAGACCGAUAGCGAACAAGUACCGUGAGGGAAAGAUGAAAAGAACUUUGAAAAGAGAGUUAAACAGUACGUGAAAUUGUCAAAAGGGAAGCGUUUGACACCAGUGUUGUUUUUCCGAAAAUCAAUUAAGAACGUGCUUGAUUUUGUGUUGUAUUGACCUUAUCAGCUUUCUUCGCUCUUUUUCGAGUCUUUCUUAAUGCACUUUUCGGUUAACAAGUCAACAUCAAUUUCUUUUGUUGUAAAAGGGUAUUUGGAAGGUGGCUUUCUUUUCGGAGAAAGUGUUUAUAGCCUUAUACCUCUACAAUCGGAGAGAUUGAGGUCUGCAGCGUAGAUCCUUCGGGGCUAGAUACACUUGUGCUAAGUUAUAGCUCUUCAUAGACAACUUGUUGACUAUGUUUAGUCAUGUAGCUUACCCGCUUGUGCUAUUUUACCUACGCUUAGGAUGUUGAGUCAUCACACAUCUCU
rnacentral:rRNA from 1 species